CUUGGUCAUUUAGAGGAAGUAAAAGUCGUAACAAGGUCUCCGUUGGUGAACCAGCGGAGGGAUCAUUGAUGGAAUAAACGCCCUCACAGGCGCUACCCAUAAACCCUUUGUGAAUACUACCUAUAAAUGUUGCCUCGGCAUUGGUUGGCCUCUUUUCGAGGUCCCUUCUUUUAGGGAAGGAGCAGACCGGCCGGUGGCCCUAUAAACUCUUUGUUUUUGUAAUAUCAUCUGAGUAAAACAACUAAAAUGAAUCAAAACUUUCAACAACGGAUCUCUUGGUUCUGGCAUCGAUGAAGAACGCAGCGAAAUGCGAUAAGUAAUGUGAAUUGCAGAAUUCAGUGAAUCAUCGAAUCUUUGAACGCACAUUGCGCCCGGUGGUAUUCCACCGGGCAUGCCUGUUCGAGCGUCAUUUCAACCCUCAAAGCCCUUGGCUUUGGUGUUGGAGGAAUACCCUGUUAAAAGGGUACCCUCUGAAAUUUAGUGGCGGGCUCGCUAGAAUUUUGAGCGUAGUAAUUUUACCUCGUUUUUAAAGACUAGUGGGACUUCUUGCCGUAAAACCCCCCAACUUUCUGAAAAUUGACCUCGGAUCAGGUAGGGAUACCCGCUGAACUUAAGCAUAUCAAUAAGCGGAGGA
rnacentral:rRNA from 1 species